rnacentral:lncRNA from 1 species
UAGCAGUCUACUCUCUAACAAGCCCACCAGAGAGACAUCUGUAAUCCUGCUGAUGCUCAUGUGCUGAAAACUAUGACCGUACUCAAUAAAGAAGGAGACACAGUGUUACAGCUCUUUUGGAAUUAGUCUAGCAGAUUUCUCAGUUUUCACUGGAAACCCUUAAAAAGGUAGAGGAGAGAGAGGUGCGUGGAAGAGUGAGCACAAGAAAGGAGGCAUCUUACAGUUUAUAAACAUCUGAACACUGGAGCUCUAUCAAGAUUCUGUUUCAAUCUCUAUUUGACCACAUACGUGCUCUUUCAAAGUUCUGUGUUUGAAGUUAUGUUAGUAACAACUGAUGCCCAUCCUGCAAUGACAAAUCCAAUUCUCAGUGCAGCUCUCUGAAAUAGUUUUGCUUUCUCUCUCUAGGUCUGUUCUAUACUCCUAACUCUCCAGGAGUUUACAAGGAAUAAAAUCUCUUCCAAAAGCUUUCUGUUGCAACAACUGGACCAUACUGAAAGCUGAGGCCCACAAUUGCAAUCUAGGUUAGCAGGUAAUCAUUGUUGGUGAGGUCCUCCCUUUCCCCAGGCUCGUGUUUGUAUUGGGGAGCAGGAAAUUUUUGCUAGAGCAGCACUGCCAUCUCUCUACACUCCACCUGAUUGGUGGGAUGGACCAGAGAAAUGGACAUUCCCAACACAGUCCCUCCUUUCACAUCUGCUCACCUGCCCACAGGAUACUUUCCACCAUGCAUACUGGGCUCUGCACCAACGAUUCAGCAGUGAUGAAGAGGAAACUUGAACCCUUCUCUCCAGGAGCUGACACCAUUUAGUGAGGAGCCAGACAAAUAAAUAAAGAAGGAAAUGCCAUUAAACGUACAGGAUGACUAUCACAGUGGGGGAAUAAUUUGGACCUGGAAAAUUUCCUGUGAGGACUCAAGGAGCACAUGGCCUGCUGAAAUCCAUGAACUACUAGACUGCCUCUAUUCACCUGAUGUCCUGCUUUUCACCCAGCCUCUUCACCGCAGCCUUUAUGAUGGAGAAUAGAGGAGGAGGAGGGACACAGAGCCUCUUCUAACUCCAGCCACAUUUACCUGGGCCUUGUUUCUAGGCAGUGGAAAGCCAGGAAGGAGAGUCAAGAAAGGUACAGAUGAGUCAUCAAUUCCCUUUGUGCUGCUAGAACAAGUGUCAGAGGGAAGCCAUGUACCUGUCUGCCCAUUGACACUCAGACAACCAUUGUACUAUAAGAAGCACUUGGCUGCCUGACAAAGAAUGGAAAAUAAACAUGGCAAGGCCAAGAUGUCCAAGAUGAGUCAACUGGGCAGUGGUGGCAGGAGAGCAACAAUGAAGAGUCCUAGCGUUUUGCACAGCUUGAAUAUUGAAUUGAACCCUGCAGUAUGCUGGGCCCCAGGGAUGCAGAGAUGACGCACUGCAUGCCCUGCCUUGGAGAAGAAGUCAAGUGGUGAAACCAGGCAAGUGCCAUGCCAUUAGAGUGCCCUGUGGUCAAGAUGUACUCCAAAAGGAUCUGAGACUAAAUAUCAGUGUGUGAGCAGCUCUACUUCCUACUGGAGGCACAAGCUGGUUCCUAAAGGAUGACAAGGCACUUGCCCAGGGCAAAGGCCUUGAAAUAGGUGGCCAGCAAGUGACAACUGGGUCAUGGCAACCCAAAUGUGUCCAGAUGCCAGGAGAGGCUUAGUCAAAUACAAGUCGGCAUACAAAUUGAGUGUCCUCUUUGAAGCUUAGAGCAGUUGAGCAGUUAGGGUAAAUCUUCUUAACUUGAGGCAUGCAAGGCCCUACAGAUCCCCUCUCCUCGCAUCUGGCUCCAGUCACCCUUUCCAACCUCAUUGCCAUUACUGGCUCCUAUCCUACCCUCUACCCACUUCACUAAACACACCCUGUAUUUUCCUGCCUUUGUGCCUUUCCAGGUACAGUCUGAUCACCCAGAGUCCUCUUCUCCAUCUCUGCCUCUGGUAGAGUCCAGUCAAUCAAUUAAGGUCAAAUUCCUCCUCCAAUAGACCCGACCCUUGGGGCAUAUCCACCAUCUCUACCCACAUGCCACCAGAAAGAAUCAAUCUCUCCUUCCCUUUUGUGCCCAGAACACUUAGUACCUCUGUUAAGAACUUGACACAACCUGCCUUGUGUAGCCAAAUGGUUAAGAACACAAGCUGUGGUUUCAAGAGAGCAGACUUAGAAACACCACCUGUGUGACCUCGGGUAAAUUUACUAACCAUUCGAGCCCUCAGUGUCAUGAUCUGUAUAAUGAGAAUGAUAAUAGUGUCUACUUACUGGAGUUAUUUUUAGGAUUAUAUGAGAUAAUGCAUCUAAAGCAUAGUGCCUGACACAUAAUAAGCAUUCAAUAAAUUGUAGCUCAUUUUGUUAUAUGGCCAUGUUGUCCCCAA